AACAAUUGAUAGAGAAGGCAUCUGGUUAGUGGUGUCCAUCUCAUGCAGCCAGAGACAGAGCAAUUCCUUGUUUAUUCCAGCAUUGCUUUUUAGUCUGUGCUCUUGUUUGGUUCAUGCCCUGGACACAAGU